rnacentral:rRNA from 1 species
AACGAACGCUGGCGGCAGGCCUAACACAUGCAAGUCGAGCGAAGCCUUCGGGCUUAGCGGCGGACGGGUGAGUAACGCGUGGGAACGUGCCCUUUGCUACGGAAUAGCCCCGGGAAACUGGGAGUAAUACCGUAUGUGCCCUUCGGGGGAAGGAUUUAUCGGCAAAGGAUCGGCCCGCGUUGGAUUAGGUAGUUGGUGGGGUAAUGGCCUACCAAGCCGACGAUGCAUAGCUGGUUUGAGAGGAUGAUCAGCCACACUGGGACUGAGACACGGCCCAGACUCCUACGGGAGGCAGCAGUGGGGAAUCUUAGACAAUGGGCGGAAGCCUGAUCUAGCCAUGCCGCGUGAUCGAUGAAGGCCUUAGGGUUGUAAAGAUCUUUCAGGUGGGAAGAUAAUGACUGUACCACCAGAAGAAGCCCCGGCUAACUCCGUGCCAGCCGCCGCCGUAAGAC